UUUUAAUUGAAAGCUUGUAUGAAUGGCUUGACGUGGGCAAGACUGUCUCUAUUACAUUAAAUAAAAAUUAAUUUUUAAGUGAAGAAGCUUAAAUAAUCUCAAAAGACGAAAAGACCCUAUCGAGCUUUAAAUUUAUGUAUAAAUAAAAUCUUUUAGAAAAACAAAAUUUAUACUCCAUUUUUAGUUGGGGCGACAAAAGAACAAAUAAAGCUUCUUUUUAUUAUAUAAAUUUAUAAAUUUAUAGAGCCAUAAAUUAUGAUUAAAAGAAAAAGCUACCGUAGGGAUAACAGCGUUAUUUUUUCAGAGAGUCCUAAUCGAAGAAAAAGUUUGCGACCUCGAUGUUGGAUUAAAGUAACUUUUAAGUGCAGAAGCUUAAAAUAAGUGGGUCUGUUCGACCCUUAAACCUUU
rnacentral:rRNA from 1 species